AGAGAGAGCUUAGGAAGCAAAGGAGAAAGGGAGAGAGAUCGCGAGAGGCCGAGAUCGAGGGGGAGCUCGCGAGAGAGUGAUGGCCGAGCUCGGCCAUGGAAGAAGCAGCUUCGAGCUGCUAUUGCAGUGGCCAAGAGAUGCAAAGUCGAUCGGCCAUGGGGACGCGAAGAAGCAGCAACAGCAACCGUGCGGUGGUGGCCGACGUUGUGUUUGCUGCGAAAGACCGAGGCAAUAAGGCGGCCAGGACCUUCGGUGGCCGGCAAUGGCGGAUGCAGGGGUCUCGGCUGGAAGCAGUUGGCUGCGCGCAGGAAGGCCGGUUUCGGUGGCUGCAAUGGCGCGAUGGGCGGUGUUAGCCGAUGGUGGUGGAGCUGCAACGGUGGCCGGUGAGGCCAGGUGGCCGAUGGCCGGCCGCAAGGAGGCUGCUGCGCGCUAUGCGCAGUCACGGUGAGGAAGAAGAAGAGGAACAGGUCGCGCGGGAGGUGAAGAAGAAAGAAGGAAAAGAGAAAAAGAGAAAGAAAAAUGGAAAAGAAAAGAAAAAUAAAAGAAAAGAAAUAAAAAGAAUAUGGAAAAUGGGGAAAAAUAGCUGAAAAAUCCAGAAAAUUUGGGGAAAGGUUCUGGAAAUUAAAUUGGGAUUUGUGGAGCGUGUUGGAAGCUCAAAAAUGAGAUUUUGGGCGCAAAUGGCAGCUCGGGAGGCAAUGCCAAUAUGGAUGAUUAAUCGAUUUUCUCUUCCAAAUUAACUGAGGUUCAACCAAGGAGGCGAUGAUCCUAGAAGAGCUCGGAGUUCGGGCUAGAGUUCGUGUCGAGGCAGAGUUGAAGCUUCGAGCCAGGUAAGGGAUGGCCCCAUGUGGAGGUGGCCUUGCAAGUUGGUAAAUGUGUUUGAUAAUGUUUUUAUGUUGCAUUGGCAUGUAGUGGUUAUAUCUUGUGUGAUGCAAGAACUAGUGGACCUGUGGCCAUAAGGAGGACUAGUGGUGGGGGUUGAUAGGUUGAUGCCUCAAACCUUAGUGGGUUGUGAGGAUGUGUGAGCCUAGCCUCAUUUGCAUGCAUUGGCAUACAUAAACAUGAUUAUAUUCAUAUUUACAUGCAUUGCACCCUUACUGAGUCUUUAUGACUCAUGAGGUUUUACCUCAUGUGUAGAUGAUGCAAGUCUAGAUGCAAGCAGGGAUGGCGCCGAGAGGCCGUUGUGGCAACUAGCUGAGUUGCCCGAGUUAUGUAUUUUUAAUAUUGCUUGUAUGUAGC